rnacentral:rRNA from 1 species
CCUACGGGAGGCAGCAGUGGGGAAUAUUGGUCAAUGGGCGAAAGCCUGAACCAGCAAUGCCGCGUGAGUGAUGAAGGCCUUCGGGUUGUAAAGCUCUGUCGGGAGGAACGAAAAUCCGGCUUGUCCGGGCUUGACGGUACCUCCAAAGGAAGCACCGGCUAACUCUGUGCCAGCAGCCGCGGUAAUA